rnacentral:lncRNA from 1 species
UUAGUUUCUUGCCUUGACUUCUCCAGUUAUCCUAUCAAAUAACCAUAAAUUAGUAACUGAAAUACAUAUGGAAGCUUUACAAUCUUCAAAAAGUCAUGUAACAUGGGGAAUCCAACUAUAUUUUGAUAAAUGUGGCAGAUUAUGUGACCCUAAUAAUAACCCGUGACAACAAUGUUGUUUUGUUGUUAGGCAAUAUUAAAAUAAGAUUAGAAUCGAGUAAAAAUGUUAAUAAACAAUCAAAAUGUGAUUUAACCUCAUAAAACAAACCAACAAACUAUAAUAUGGUAAACCUAAUACACUCAAUGACUCAAACCAUGCAAGAGUUUGACCAGAGUUAUUUUAUUACUCAAGUGCAAAUCAACAGAAGAGAAACAAGAAACAAAAUAAUCAUCAUGUGAUUAAAUCUUCCACAAAAAGAGAUUUGAGUAAAACAUCGUGAUCUGAUAAAAUUGGUUAUUCAUAAGAACACAUUCUGAAACAAGCGUACCAUACACGCUAAAUCAGAUUUUACAGUGAAAAAAAAUCAAUAAAAAGAUAAAGAAGAAAACAUUUAUGAAACGGACAACAAAACUACAUGAAAACUAUGUAGUUUCCUUCUGUUUUUAAGUCGCAAUACAACUUGUAUAGUUAGAAAACUAGAGUAUGCUUCGAUUUUUCUCGUAUCCAUACAUACAGAGGAGAUUACAACAUCUGAAAUACAGAAAACCCUAGAGAACUAAAAUAAGAGGGAAAAAGAAUGAAAAGUUACAGAUAAUUUCUUAGGAUUACCGACAUGGUUGUGAGUGUCUUACGAAGGGUGGGGGUGCUUGUGUCUCCGGUGAGCUGAAUUACAGAGGUCGCGAUGAGUCGUCUCCGACGGUGUUCGGAGAACGAAGCGGGAUGAGUGAAGUGAAGAAGGAAGAGUGGAGAAGGUAAUAUUUUAUGCGCCAAUACACCGACCCAAACCUUCUGGCUUCCCAAUUCCAACGGUCAUUUAUAAAACCAAUUCCAAAAUUAAAACCUUUCUAACCUACACGUCUCCGG